ensembl:lncRNA
GGAUUUUUGAUUUUCCACGUCUAAUUUAGCUCAUAAACCAAUAUUCAAAACGCUACCGUUUCGUCGUCGAAGGUCGGAUCAAAAAACUGUCUUACGAUUCCUUUGCGUGUGCGUCUGAAGAUGUCGUGUGCAAAGUUUGGUGUCGAUUGGUCAAGAAAUGUGGGAGGAGUAGGGAAAAAACAGUUUUAGGGUUUUCGCGAUUUUGCGAAAAAAAAUUGCAGACGCAAAUGGGCGUGGCCUAUGCCAAAAGAUGCAGCAGACUCCAGUGAAUAUGUGUGUACAAGGUUUUGAAUGUGGGAGGUUCGGUGUGGGAGUUAUAGCCCCAAACGCGUAUUCCUUGGUAUAGCGCCACCUAGUGACCGG